rnacentral:rRNA from 1 species
GACCGAUAGUGAACCAGUACCGUGAGGGAAAGGCGAAAAGAACCCCGGCGAGGGGAGUGAAAAAGAACCUGAAACCGUGUACGUACAAGCAGUGGGAGCCCCACCACCAAAGCAUUCUCUGGUGUUGAAGGCCCUGCAAAGCAGCAUCGCGGUGGCGGAGCGUCGUUUGCGACGCCCAACACACAAAACAAGCGGUGAGUGCUUUGGGGUGGGGUGACUGCGUACCUUUUGUAUAAUGGGUCAGCGACUUAUAUUCUGUAGCAAGGUUAACCGUAUAGGGGAGCCGUAGGGAAACCGAGUCUUAACCGGGCGUUAAGUUGCAGGGUAUAGACCCGAAACCCGGUGAUCUAGCCAUGGGCAGGUUGAAGGUUGGGUAACACUAACUGGAGGACCGAACCGACUAAUG